GACGAACGCUGGCGGCGUGCUUAACACAUGCAAGUCGAACGGAAAGGCCCUGCUUUUGUGGGGUGCUCGAGUGGCGAACGGGUGAGUAACACGUGAGUAACCUGCCCUUGACUUUGGGAUAACUUCAGGAAACUGGGGCUAAUACCGGAUAGGAGCUCCUGCUGCAUGGUGGGGGUUGGAAAGUUUCGGCGGUUGGGGAUGGACUCGCGGCUUAUCAGCUUGUUGGUGGGGUAGUGGCUUACCAAGGCUUUGACGGGUAGCCGGCCUGAGAGGGUGACCGGCCACAUUGGGACUGAGAUACGGAGCAGACUCCUACGGGAGGCAGCGGGGGGGAGUGUUGCACAGUGGGGGGAAGCCUGAUGCAGCAACGCCGCGUGCGGGAUGCCGGGCUACGGGUUGUAAACCACUUUCGCCUGUGACGAAGCGUGAGUGACGGUAAUGGGUAAGAAAGCACCGGCUAACUACGUG
rnacentral:rRNA from 1 species